rnacentral:rRNA from 1 species
UCCGUAGGGGGCGAGCGUUGUCCGGAUUUAUUGGGCGUAAAGAGCGUGUAGGCGGCCAGGUAGGUCCGUUGUGAAAACUCGAGGCUCAACCUCGAGACGUCGGCGGAAACCCUCUGGCUAGAGUCCGGAAGAGGAGAGUGGAAUUCCUGGUGUAGCGGUGGAAUGCGCAGAUAUCAGGAGGAACACCGAUGGCGAAGGCAGCUCGCUGGGACGGUACUGACGCUGAGGCGCGAAAGCGUGGGGAGCAAACAGG